UCAAAAAGAAACAAUGAGAAGGUAAAAUAAUAUCAUCAGACAGAAUAAGUCCAUGGACAGAAUAAGUCUAUCUGAGCACGUAUUACCUUGGUAAUAAUGAAUUUGCUCUUGCUUCUGAGAACCAGUUAGACUUAAAAGAGAUUUAAAUCUUGUAACUUGCAUGUGGUACUCACAAUUUGCCUCUUGUUGUUUACAGAACAGCAUUACUAAACCACAUAGAAUAUUUUUUUCCCACAGGAUGCCAUGAUGAAAAUACAUGAAGUAUUUCAAGCCUGACAUGACAUUAUUUAGAAAAAAAAAUGUGCAAAACCUGGGAUAAUACUGCAGCUCUUUGCUUGUGUGAACUAUGGAGUUUGCCUUAUAUGAUCAUUAGUAUUCAUCUUGAUUGCUGUAUUCCUUGGCAAAUAAAAGAUUUUUUUUUUCUAUGUAAUCCCAAUGCCCAGAUACAGAAUCAAUGUAUUAAUUAAGGUUAGUUUCUCUGUGUGACCAUAAAUUGAUAGCAGCAUGUGCAGCAUAAAAGUAAGGCAUACCAGAGACGUUACUGGAAUUGUCUUCCUUUUCCCCCACUUCUAAUGUAGCCAUUUUUCUUUACCCUGGAAUUUACAUUUUAUCUGGUUUUACACUCUUUCAUCCAAUUGGCCCAAUUUACUCACAACUUCUCCAUGUAGGUUACACAAUGUUACAAAGUGACUCACUUAAUAUCCAACUUUUUAUUUUAUUCAACCUUGCCCUCUAAUUUAGCUUAGUAAGAUCAAAUCAUAGAGUUAAUAUUAUGUCAUGAGCAGCUGUGAUUCUCUGGCUAAAUUCAGAGCUACAGAAGUGUCAGAUCUUCCAAGGAAUGUACAAAAUUGUAUAGCCAUGUUAGCUCUGCUAGGUGCAGUUGGCAAAGGAUAGUUUUAUAAAAUGUGUUUUUAUGUUGCAGUUGUGCAAUGCUACAAUUACUUUUACUGGAAACCAAAUAAAGACUUCAAACUACCCAGGGCAAAGUGCACAGGGGCACUAUCCAGCUGAAUCUGUAGUUGUCACUGUCAGUGGCAGGACUAGUUUCACAGACAAGCUGCCCUUUGAAAAAUAAAUGUUUUACAACUGAACUCUUUUCUUAUAUUUUGAAUGUUUUCAUAAUAAGACGCACUUCUCAAGAAGCUGGCAGGUGGGGAAGAAGGAAGUUCCUUCUAAACCCACCAAAUUGCCUUUAAAAAGUGUCUGUAUCAAGAAUCCAAGAAUCCAAACACUUUUUUCAUCUUGGGAGAGAUGGCUUUUGUCUGUCUUGUUAGCUUUAUCUCUGCUUAUAGGAAACUCUCUGUGACAGCAAGUUUUCUUCAGUGCAGCCAUUCCAGACUAGAGGUCCCCAAAUCCUUAGGAACUGGAUGAAUGGGAAAUAUGACCUGACAUUCUGAAAUGUGUCUGUGAACUUGAGGGGCAUCAGGGAGCAAAUGUACAACAGCUGUGAAAAGACUUCUGAGAGAGAACCUUGCCUCUGGAGGAAGACCAGGCUCAUCUUUAUCACCACUGGACCUUCAGAGGAAAAACUGCACCCUUCUACAGGAUAAUUGCUUCAAUAGAACCACAUCUGUCACUCCAGGAGGACUGCAGCCACCACUUAAUCAGACUGCUACCAACACCCUGACUGACAGGGUGUCAGGUUGUAUUCUGACUCUGUCAGUGUUUUGGUUUUUUGUAUUACUGUAUGUUUAUUUUAAUUUUUCUAUUAAAGAAUUAUUAUUCCUAUUCCCAUAUCUCUGCCUGAGUGCUCCUUAAUUUCAAAAUUAUAAUAACCUGGAGGGAGUGGGUUUACAUUUUCCAUCUCAAUAGAGGCUCCUGCUUUCCUUAACACCUGUCUUUCAAACCAAGACACUCAAGGUGUUUGCUGCAGAUGUUCAACAUCUAGAAAACCUGCUACUUGAAAUCCAUAGUCUUGAUGUGACCAUUUCCAAGGAAUUAAAUUUAGCGUAUUUUAAUCUGUUGUGCUUUUGGCAGUCAAAAGACUGAUCUGCACUGCAGGACUAAAUAAUAUUACCCCUUGGAUUUCUAUUCUUGUCUAGAAACUACUGCUGCUCCCUAAAUUUUCAGCUUAUCAACAUACCAUCCAAAAGAAGUUCUUUCAUCCCUAAAAGCUUGAUUAUGAAUUAAGUGUUGAAUUGUGAAGAAGUUGGGGUUUUUGAUGCUUCCAGAUUCCGUAGCAUUUAAUAAACAUAUGGUGAGGGAUGCAUUUCAUCCCAUUGGCCUGGAAAGUCAGUCAUUGUCCUUGCAGAGGAUCUUCCACUGUAGUCCAUGAAUAUUGGAUUAUAUUUGUCUCCUAACAGUAAUUUUUAAUUCUGCAAUGUGUAAAUACAAUGUCAAAAGUCUAGACUGAAUUCAUACCUUCCACCAGAAAGGAUGCAUGGUGUAGAUACUAUUUCUACCAGUUAUUGUAACAAAAUUGUACAUCCAGUUAUCCCAGCAGUGUGAUUACAGUGAACCUAUCCCCUAUCACAGGGGAAACCUUGGCUGUACAUGAAGUUUAUAAAAGCCCAUGUAGACAAGUGUGCAUACAGGGAUUAUAAUACAGUAUUGAUCAUGAGCUGAGAACACUUAAAAUAAGAGAGACCCUGAGGUUUGAGCUGGUUUCAAAUUUAUAGGUAUUCAGAGAGCUCACAGAAAUGGAAAUACUGCAGGCGGUGACUUGUAAAUAUUCAAUUUUUUUUUUUCACUAGCUUCCAUUAAGCUGAACUCCUCCUUCUCUGUGUCCUCUUCUACAGCCUAGUCCAUUCUCAGAGGCUUCAGUUGUCCACUCCAGUGCCAUGUGAAACGACACAUCUGAAUUGUUUUUUCAGCUCUCAAUGACUCUCUGUCUCCUGAAUAUUUGCUGUAACUAUCUUUCACAAAGCAACUCAACUAACUCUUCAAGUCAGAUGAAACUGUACUAAAGGCACACAGUGACUUCGUAUCUAACAGCUGGCUAUUACAGCUUGAGGCUUCCUACAGAAACACCAGUUCUGUACUGAUUACUACCAUUUCCCCCUGUAUUAAAACAAUGAUAAUUAUGUGAUUGAUAAAUGCUAUUAUGUACUCCUGAAGUACAGAGAAUGGUUAACUGUGUAAUCAGAUAUCAACACUGUGAUGUAUAUUUUUGUAGAGUUUUAGUCACAGUCCCCAGAGAAAUUUCACAAUAUGCACAUACUAGAUAUAUGCCACAACAUGUAUCAUACUAGAGAAUUCUUGGAAUAUGGCCCUGGAAUGGUCAUCCAGGCACUGUAGGGAUUGCAAAUGGUAACGUAGGAUGACUGGACAUCAUUUCUGACGAAAGUGUGCCUGAGCCAAAGUCCACAAUCUUAGAUUUGAUAAUCCCUAUCACAGAUGGUGAAACAGAAACUUUUGUGAACUGAAUUGCUAGGAAAAGUCCCUAAUACUUUUGUUUUGUCUUUGGCCACAUGUGACACAGGUGGAAAGGCCCAGUAUUAGCAGUCAUUGCUUUUACAGCAGCAGAAUGAGGCUUCUUUCAGAUUUGUUUGGGUGUUACCAGGCUCUGACUCCUUAGCAAAGUCACUGGUAGUCAUUUUGGUAACACCAUUAUUCUGCUUUCUUCUCUGUCUCGAGCAUUCUACAACUUUCACUACUCAGGCAGCAUGAUAAUGAAGAUCCAUCUCCCUUCUGGAAUUGAUAGAAUUACACCAGCAAUGAAUUGUACCUGUGUUUGUAUUUUAAUGUAUACUCUGGCUGUAGUAACACAAGUGUGUAUAAUUAAAGACUGUUUUGUAAUGCAUUCUUACAGGCGGGCUGAAUUAAUACCUUACUUUUGAGAAUUUGAACUUAAUAUUCUUAACACACUUUUACACAGUGGGAUCAUACAGAUUUCUAGAAAAUAAAUGUAAAAAUGGGAAAUUUUCUCAUCUGGUGUUAUCUUUACAUCCAUGUAGGCACUUGCAGAGUUGAAAUGCUUACAUUCACAAUAUAAGCUUUUGACUCUUUGAGUUAAGGAAGCAACUGCAGGAAACAGCAUGUUCUGUUUCUCCAUACAGAUCAGCCCCUGCCUGAAAACAUUAUUGACUCAACUUGAACUGAUUUUACCCACCAUCCACCAUGAGGCUGAUCAUGUCCUGCUAUUCCUACCUCAUCUUAAAUUCUAUUACAAUGCCCAGUUUUUAUGUAAUGAUAUUGCUUAGAUGAUCUCAGAAGUUCUUUAGAACUGCUUUUAGAAGCAAUCAGAACAUGAAACAGAAAAAACAGGUUCUUAACUGCUAGAAAGAAAACACUAUGUAUUUUGUAUUUUUACAAGAUGAUUCAGAAAUUACAAAGCUAUUUACUACAACUUUUUAUUUCAACAGUGUAUUUUCUCUAAUGUACAAAUCCUUAAUUUUAAAA